UUGGGAGGAGUCACAUAAGAUUCCAGUUUUCCUGAUCCUAAAGGCACAAACAGCCCUUUACAGAAAAAAAAAGAGAGAGAUGAAGCAAAAGUGGAAAAGACACCCUGUGAGGUGAGUGGGGCUGAGAGACUUCAGAGAAGUGUGACUAGCCCAAGGUCACCCAGCAGCUGCAUGUGGAGGAGCGGAGACACGAACCCGGUUCCCCAGAUUACAAGUCCACUACUCUUAACCACUACACCCCACUGGGUAGAAAGUUAGAAGGUAGAAAGUUUGGAUGAGUAAAUAAUUAUUUUGGCUGUGUACUUUAACAUCCCCCCCCUCUCUCUUUGUGUGCAAUUGUUUUUGUCACAUUCUAUUGUUUCUGUUUACCAAGACUGCUCCCCACCCUGAGCCCCCAGGGAUAGAGAGGGUUAUUUAUCUAAGUAAAAAGAAUAAAAUAAAGUAUGUCAGCCCAGUGUUGAAAACAGCUGUGGGCUAUAUUCCUUCCUACUGGAACUCAGUGUUUUCUUUAGGAUAAUUAUUCCAACUCAAGAGAUAUUACCUGCACAAGCACAUAUACUGAGAUGACAGAUAUAUGUGAAAGUCUAAACCAAUGUUUCCCAAGUGAAAGUUUGACUCCAGUUGGAAGAGCCCAUCUCCUUUUCUGCUCCUGCUCUUUUGGCAAAAGCAAGGCUGCCCAUUACUAUAGGAACAUUAUAGUACUGGGAUCCAGAGACAAAUGCUGGCUCCCUUCAACUGUACAAUUAUCUGGAACCCCCCCAGUACACAGAGUAAGCCUAUUUGGCUCACUGUUUCAGGGUCCUUUCAAUUUCCCCAUGGUUCUGAACACGGUGGUUGUUCCCUCAGCACAUGACACAAGAAUAGCAGCUAUAUUCCCAGAACCUGCAGGGGAAUUUACAAUACUGAUAUAUUUCUCAAAAAUGCUGGCUGCAUUUUUCUUCUGUGUUCUGGGAAGAAUGUGGAUUUAUUGACUAAAGACACAAGAGGUGUCCAGUUAUGUAUCAGAUUCAGAAGAUGGCUACCAUGCCUUCUAGUCCAGAGUGCGUACAUGAAAGAUUCUGGGGAAAUAUAACAGCUUUAAACACCUUCCAGUUUCAGAGCAGGCCAGUUCUGCCUUAAGGAGGAGGUGGUGUUGCGGGCUCUCACAACCCCUCCACGUGUGCAGGGGGUGGGUGGCCAGCCCUGCGCGACUGGGGGAUUCCCGGCUGCAUCACUGGCCAGGCCAACCAAUCUGGUUGGUCUGGGGGUGUGGCCUCCCGAUAAAGGCAGGACGCAGCAGCUGGGAGAUCUCUCUCUUUCCAGCAGUUAGGCAUUGGAAUAUUUCUGGAGAAGAGAAGAGGGGAGGUAGAGCCAUCACCUGCCCCGCAUAGUGAAGGGUAUUCCGUUAAAGGAUUCGGGGGGGGGGCGUGGCCCUGUCCAAAGCCUAGGGAGGUUAGGGCCUAAGGCACGACCCCUAUCAGCAAGGGCGUACCCACCACGGGGCAAGUUAGGGCAGCUGCCCUACUCUAGAAGCUACAGGGGGGGGGGGGAGAAGGCAUAUAAAAAACUGGUAUAAAACAGCCUCUGAGCGCGCCCUUUUUUCCACUGUAAAAAGAGCAGAGGCCGGUGGGGAGGAGUUGUGUGGCCUCCCCUCCCCCUCUCCUCCUUUCGGCCCCCUGCUCCAGCCUAUCCCUGCUGGCCAAUAAGGCCGGCUGGGGGGUGGGGUUUGACUACAUUUUGGCCUGCGCGGCAGCAUUCAAACCCUCUUUGCUGCACCUCAUCGGAUCUGCAUCGUCUCCUCUCUGCGGGUGUGGCUGGGGGGAGAAGCCUGGGUGAGCACAGCUGAGCGUGGGGGAGGGGGGCUAACUGUUUGACUGUUCACGCUUCUUUCUGUGAAGGUCUUUUGGGCUCGCAUUAAUUGCUCUGUGCUGCUGAUUGCUGCCUCCCCGCCUCUUUUAUCUCAAGGGAUCUCCGCAGUUCCCCUCCUUCAAUCCCAUUGUUUUAAAAUUGGCUGUUUGAGUCUGAGGGAUUCCCUGCUUUGGGGGAUUCCUUGCCAGCAGCUGCCCUCUCCUCUGCGUCAUUGAUGGGGGGGGGGGUUGAUGCUAGUAUUUCAGCCUCCUUUAAUUUUUGGAUUCCUACAACUUUUAAGCAACUGUGCACAUAUUCAGAACUGGCGAUUCAUUUUUAAGUUGCUAUUAGAGUUUAAGUUGAUUUUGGUUUUUCCCUAACCUUGAAGCAUCUUUAUUGGGAAUUAAAACAGCGACUUUAAAUCUGAUUGGCGUAAUGCAAGUUGACAAAACUAUUUUGUUUUGGUUUUAAGCCUAUUCAAGGUUCCAAGCAUCCCAGUGCUGCUUGAUUGCCCUGCAUAUCUUAAUUACUCCUUGGUUACCUGUAGUUCUUGGCUGGGAAUUGUUUUUUUUUUCUGCGGGGUACUUAGCUGGCCACAUUGUUAUCUCUUUGCUGGGUACUUAAGGUCUAUCAGGGCCACAUUGUUACUUUAUCCCCUGAAGAUCCUGUGUCUGCAACAAUAAUAGCUUCUCAUUUGCUUCUCAUUUGGUACUGCUGAGUUCCUCUAUUUAUUUAUUUAUUUAUCUUAGUUCCCAUGCUUGCAAUAAUUGCUUUUCGUAGCUUGCUUUAUCCUUGAUCUGAGUGGCUUGUUUUACAUUUGACAACAUUGUUGUGUUUUAAAAUUUAAUUUUGCUUUAACUUAAAUACUUAUUAUUUUGACGUUUUGCUUUGGUUUAAAGGAGAAUUGGCCAGUUCGAAUCCCUGUGACGGGGUGAGCUCCCGUUGCUUGGUCCCAGCUCCUGCCAACCUAGCAGUUCGAAAGCACGUCAAAAUGCAAGUAGAUAAAUAGGAACCGCUACAGCGGGAAGGUAAACGGUGUUUCCAUGUGCUGCUCUGGUUUGCCAGAAGCAGCUUUGUCAUGCUGGCCACAUGACCUGGAAGCUAUACACCGGCUCCCUCGGCCAAUAAUGCGAGAUGAGCGCGCAACCCCAGAGUCGGUCACGACUGGACCUAAUGGUCAGGGGUCCCUUUACCUUUAUCCAGGUUUUUAGAUUCCAAACUUAAAACUUUCCAAUUCCCCCCAUCAUAAACCUGAUUUCAAAAGCAGUGUUACAGAUAUAGCAAUAGCAAGUAGCUUAGGGCCACACCUCGACUGGUGCCAACGGGAACUUUUUCACAUGGUGAACAGCAGCCAAGUGGAUAGGGGUGAUCCAACAGGCACUGUGUUGAGUACACAGACUUUCAAAAAGCUUUCUGGAUAGUUCCCCACCAAAGACGUGUGAGUAAACUUUGUAGUCAUUGGAUAAUUGGUUAAAAAUAACAGUAAGUGGAGAGUAUGAAUAAAUGGCAUUUUCAGCAUGGAGAGAUCUGAGUUGUGGGUUUCCCCCAAGCAGCAGUACUGAGAUCUGUGCUUUUUAACUGGUUCAUAAAUGACCUGGAGUUACAGGUAAGGACUCAGGUGUUUGUUGGUAACAUAAAAUUGUUCAGGGUGACAUGAACAAAAAUAUUGCAAUGAGUUCCACAAGAAUCUCUCCAAACCAUCUGAAUGGGAAUAAAUUGGCAAAUAUGAUUCAGUGUUAAGCAAGUGUAAAAUAAAGCACAUUGGGGCAAAAAAACAAAAACAAAACCUAGCUUCACAUAAACACAGUGUCUGAACUGGUGGUGGCUGACCAUGAAUAUGGCUCAGUGAAAAAGUUGGCCCAGUGUGCAGCAGCCAUGAAAAAAGGGUCAAUUCCAUGCCAGCCAUCAUUAGGAAAAGUUUCAAAUAUAAAACUUUCAAUAUAAUAAUGUCAUUGUACAAAUAUACGGUGCGACCGCACUUGGAAUACUGUGUAAAAUUCUGGUUGUUGCACCUCAAAGAGUAUAAUGUAGCACAAGAAAAGGUUCUGGAAAGGGCAACCAAAACUAUUAUAGGGCUGAAACAAUUCCGCUAUACGGAAAGGUCACAACAUUUGAAGCAUUUUAGUUUAGAAAAAAGGUAAGGUAGUGGGAACAUGAUAAAGGUGUAAAAAAUAAAGUAUGGUGUUGAGAGAAUGGAUAGGGAAGCAUUUUUUCUCUCACACACACAAUGCUAAAAUCUGGAGUCUUUCAAUGAAGCUGAAUAUUGGAUGAUCAUGACAGACAAUAAGAUGUAUUUCUUCCAGAGCAUAAACAAUGGAAUUCAAUAGCAGGUAUUAAAACAAAAACCAGCUACUAAACAGCAAACUACAUGAUCAAAGUCACACCUAAUUUGAAUCCAAAGAUGUUUUUAUCACUGGCUAUUUAAAAUACAGUGGUACUUUGGUUUAACAGCUUAGUUUAACAGCUUAGUUUAUGAACUUGGAUUAAGAAUGCUGCAAACCCAGAAGUAGGUGUUUUGGUUUGUGAACUUUGCCUUGGAAUAAGAACAUGUUUGGCUUCCUAUUGAGUGUGUUCCAUCUGUAAAUUGAGUCCUCUGCUGCUAUGGGAAAGCAUGCCCUGGAUUAAGAACGCUUUGGUUUAAGAACGGACUUCCAGAACGAAUGGUUUGUAAACCAAGGUACCACUGUAUUCUGUGCAAUACUCCUCUGUAUGUUUUGCAGUCAGUUGCUGGAGAAAUCUGCGGUCUGCUCAGCAGCAAGGCGAUUUUGUUAAAAAGAAACUCUGCAACUGCUCCCCGAUCAAAAUCAAUACAAAUAUGAGGUACUGCCCCUCCCAACAAAAGCCUGCUCCUCCCUAACAAAAAUCCAGGCUACGCCCAUGGCAACCAGCUCCCUCCAAGCUUGUCUUACAAAGUUCCAUGGAUGCUGCCGGAAUAGACUGGGAAUGUUUUUGGGAGGAGUUGCUAGAGACUAGUACUUUUCUGGGUUUGUCCCCUCUCUCUACCACAUGCUGACAAUCAGCCUUCUUAUUCUCCCAGGUAUAAAAGAGUGGGGCAGCCUAAAGCAGCGCUCCGGCAAUGCACAAAGUGCACUUAGUAUUGCACAGCCAUUCUAUCAAUCUGCAAGAAGACAGAACAAUAAGAAGCUGGAGAAAGUGAAAACUCAGCAGAAAAGACCUUGAGUUUUAACUCUUGUUUAGCUGACAGCGUUUUCAAUCCAAUUAAUGUUGAUCCUUCAUUUGGUUAUGGUCUUCAGGUAUUCUCAAAUAUUUUCCUUUUAGAAAGAUAGAGAGGGAACUUCUAAUUAUAAGAAAGAGGAAGUGGAUAGACAAUAGGGGUGGCCCUGUGGAAUUUCAUGGUCUAAACAGGGGAGGUAGGAUUCCCUUUUCCCUUCCGCUAAGAGUCACAGGGGGGGGGGCUUCCACUCUCUCUGUGUAAUACAGUGAUGGGCAACCUUUUGAGCUUGGUGUGUCAAAAUUCACCAAAAAAACCGAGCAUAACUCGGGUGGUAUGUCACUUCAAGGAAAAAAACCAUAAUUUUGCGAUAUUUAGAGUUUAAAUAACAAAAAUGUAUAAUUGUAAUAUAUAACUGUAUUUAAUAAACCAAAAACUAAUUAUUUAAUCAAACCAAACAAAAAAAACCCUUAUUUAUCACAAAAUGCCCAGAGUUGUUGAGCUUUUUGGGGGAGCUGCUGACCAAAGUUUUGGAGGUUUUUUUCGGGGGUGUGUGUGUGCAAAAGUUGCUUUGCUUUUUUGGGGAGGAUGCCCCAAAGCUGCUGCGCUUUUGGGGGGGGGAAGAGAACAGAAAUAAAUGAGGAAUAAUACCUUCGCUGGAACUAACACGCAGCACCGACAUAGUCUGCCAAAGCACCAAAAAAACCAGCACAGAACGGGUUAAAAAACUAACGCUGUCACACCCAAUCAUAGUCUGCCAAAGCACCAGAAAAAACAGCACAGAAAGGGUUAAAAACUAAUCUCUGGCUACCACCAGCAGCAACAACAAAAAAGGAUCCGGGUUUUAACAGCGGAGACAAGCUGUAGCGGAGAAAAGCUGUACGAAGAGCGGGAGAACAAAUGGGGGGAACAAAACAACAACAGUGCGGAUGGGCCGAUGGGGCGCGUGCCAUCAGUGAGGGCUCUGCGUGUCACGUCUGACACGCGUGUCAUAGGUUCACCAUCACUGGUGUAAUAGAUUUGCUGUCUUAUCUUCUGUAUGUGAUUUUAACAACCUCUUUCGUAAGGUGAGUUAAUCACACCUGAUAAGGAGAGACAUCCUGAAAAAGUUUUGGAUAAUGAAAAUAUUGAUACAAGUGAGCCAGUGGUUUCAGCUGAACGAAGUUGCUUUUUCAUCUCCACAACUACGGUAUUCAAGGACAUUCAUGAGUUAAAAAGAAAUGGUGUGUAAAGCAGUGGUGUUGCAGCAUUUGCCAGGGCCCAGGGUGCAUGCAUGCUGGGCAGAAACAGGGGCAGGGUGCAGAGGGUGAACAAAACCCGCUGCACCAGUCCAGCCCUUGUCGACCCCCUGCUAUGCCCCUGUUUAAACAGCAUCUUGUUUUGGAGUCCACUGAAUCUGCUAAGCAGUCAAACACCAAACAGUCCAAGAACUGCAAGGUGGCUGGUGGAAAGGUAAUCUUAGGAUGGGGCAUUAGAACUAGUUCCUCUGCAAGUCUUAUCUUUUUUGGAGAAUCAGAUGUUUUGACCUUGUCUACAAGGUUUCAUGGGGUAUGGCACUCCUCAAAAUUCUUGGUACUCAUUUAGUUCUGCCUACCUCCAGAAUUGAUUCGAUUCAAUUAACUCACCUUCCUUCAUGCACAGGUUCUAAAAGGAUCCUUCUGAUGCUUAACACCCCUCAGCUUCCUUCCUCUAUACAGUAUUGAGAUCUACAAACCAAUUAGCUGUACUUGGGGUUUUUCCUUUUGUGAAAGAUCUUUCCUGAAGCCAGCAACAAGCUCCUUGCAGACUUGUAACCACUGUCUCAGGGUCAAUUCACAUGAGCAAAAAAGUAUACCCUGAGUUGGGCAUGACAGGAUUGUGUAAUUACUGUUGACACAAUCCCUUGAAUGACAAGAGCAAUUUUAAGCACACAACUGCAAAUGAUUGCUUCUUUUCAGACAGAAGACUGCAUGAUGGGGCAAUCAUAGAACCACAAUGCUAUGUGCACUGACCUCACCUUUCACAAGGCCUAUUUUUAGGCAAGUGAAUCAGACCACAACUUCAAGGAGUGCAUAUGGGCAAGUCAAACAGAAACAAAGGCAAAGGAACAAUUCACGACAUCACGCAGGUGUAUUGAUGUGCAUGAAACCAAAAUGUUCUGUCUCACAGGGUUAGGACCACUGUGGAUGAUAAUCAAUUUUUUUUUUUUAAGUAGCCAAAAAGGUGAGAGAAAACUGCCUCCUUAGAAUACCUACUCUCCCCUAGAGAGAAAUGGAAUUUCUGAAAAUAAGAGACCAUUUUAGUUGCCUGGAUAAAUCAAUACAAAUUUUCUUGGCAGAGUUAGAUUCCUGCUUCUCUCAACUGCUUGCUGGGUAGCAACUCAAGACACAGGUCAAGGAAAUGAAACUGAUGUACCUUUACGUUUAUUAGUGAGAACCAUUCAAUGCUAGUUUUCAUUUUCUUCUCUCUCCCAAGAGAACAAAGAAAAUUACCAUCCUGCAAGAAAUCAUCAAUAAUUUAUUCCUAAUGUUAUUAACCACUGAGAAGUGUUUGAUUGCGACAUAUUAUGUUGUUUGAUUGCGCUGUUUAUAUUGUAACUUCAAAGUCAAUUUUGAAAGAUACCUAUUAUAUCUGCAUGUGCACUCAAAAGGCAAACACCAUCUUUGAGUCAAUAAGUUAUUUCAAUAAUUUAAAUAAGAUUUCUAUGGGCUCUGUUCCUUAAUGACAUCUGCUUUUGCUUUCACUAAUUUAAUUUCUUCAUAUGAUAGCCUUUCCUCUGAUUACGUGUUUUCUCCUAAUAUUACAAUGCUUGUUAUCUUUACCAAGACGAUAAUCUAGGGUGAAUGGACAUUUACUCAAGAGCUGGUUGCUGCUUUAGUGGAGUAGCUAAGAGACUGAGCUAAGACUCCUGAAAUCCCUGAUGUGAAUCUGACCCCUACAACAAUUGCACUAGGUCCACAAGCAGGGGCAAGCAUAGAUUUUCCCCAGCCCCCGGCCUAAAUUAUAAACCAUUUCAGAGAAAAACUAUGGGGUUGUCAUGCUUGCCUCAGAUUGGAAAAAAAUGAAUUAUCUGUCUCCAAGGUUCAUAUUCUGAACCAGAUUAUGAUGAAUUUAAGUGACACCAUACUGGUCUGGAGCAGAUUAGUUUGUCUGUGACUAAUGGGGUCUAUGUGACCAUGGAUGAGCAGCAAAAAGCCUGUGAGUCCUCCUUGAUCUGGCACUGCUCCUUGAGAAGCCAGAGUUGUUGCCAGGAGAGUCUUUUUCCUUCUCUAUCCAAUAAUAAUGUAGGUCAGACUUUGCCAUGCUGCGCUAUGCUUCUGUACCUUCUAGACUUGAUAGCUUCAAUGCACUUCAUCUGGGGCUGUCCUUGAAGAUCUAGAAGCUUCACCUAAGAAAGAAUACUCCUGCACGACUCCUAACAGAACCCAAUCACCAUGAAGUCUGGACACCACAAGUCUGCAGAAGAGGCAGGCAGUGAUCACAUAAUGGACAUGAGAUCACAGUAUGAUAGUGAAAUUUACCUGUGAGAGCGGCAUUUCUUAUACAGUGGAACCUCGGUUUAUGAACACCUCGGUUUACGAAUUUUCGGUUUACGAACACCGCGGACCCAUCUGGAACGGAUUAAUUCACUUUCCAUUACUUUCAAUGGGAAAGUUCGCUUCAGUUUAUGAACGCUUCAGUUUAUGAACAGACUUCCGGAACCAAUUACACCCAUGCUUCAGGUUAAGUAUGAUUCAGGUUGAGUACUCCGUGGACCCGUCUGGAACGGAUGAAUCCACUUUCCAUUACUUUCAAUGGGAAAGUUCGCUUCAGUUUAUGAAUGCUUCAGUUUAUGAACAGACUUCUGGAACCAAUUGUGUUUAUAAACCGAGGUACUGGGCCAUACAAACCAUCAUAGCUAAUCAAGGAUCAUUGCUGAAAGAAGUGGGCUCCUGUCCGUUCUGAUUCACAAAUUUUGGUUCAACGGCACCACGUUUCCUCACCAAGCUGUAUAUGCACUAUAUUGUAUUGUAAGAUACUCAGGUUAUGAAACAGAAGGUUCAAGGUUCAGCUCUUGCUUCUAAACUCAGCCAGGCACCUUAGACCUUUCUCUUAGCUUCUUUUCUUGUUUCCCCCAGCCUCAAUUUGCAACAGGGGAUAAUAAAUAAUAAUGGCGUCCUCCUUUGCAAGAUCAAAUCAGGAAGAAGAAGUAUUGAAUUCAUCCUAUCAAGAACUGAGCCCUGUAACCUUAAGCUGUUCUGCUUCCAUAUUGGACUGAAAUGUAUAGAACAGGGGUAUCACUUGGAACUGUAUAGUUUUAAAUGUGUUUGUAGGGGGAUUGUGGGUUUGCUUUGUUUUUGUUCCUGUUUCUAUUGUGUAUUUUGUGAUUUUAUUUUGUAUUUGUAUGUUGCGAACCGCCCUGAGAUCUUCAGAUGAAAGGCGGUAUACCAAUUUAAUAAAUAAAAUAAUAAUAAUAAUAAUAAUAAUAAUAAUAAUAAUAAUAAUAACUGGGGCAGUUUACCUACAAUGCUGUGUAAGCUUUUGUUUGGCAAUCAUCAUCAUCAUCAUCUCUGAGUUAUGAAGAACAAACAAGUCUGCUCAAGUGGAGUGGACUUGAGUGAAUGUCACUUGGAUGUGUUUUGUGUGUACAUGUUUCUGGUGGCUUCCAAAUAUUUAGUUCAGGAAAGAGGGGAAGGGAAACUACUUUGCAAAGGAGGAAUGCCACUACCAGCUUAUGUUAUGCCAUGGAUAUCAAUGAGCCAAAUCCCUGAGAGCUUCCUCUACCCUCCUGCUUCCUUUGUUUGCAACCACUUCCCUCCGACGUGACACAUGCAUCUGCCUCUCCAGUUUGCUCCUCAUUCCCAAUCUUAUCAAAAUGAAGGCUGACACUCAUCAGCCACAAAGUGAAACUGACUUGUGUCACUGCGAUGAGUCUCCCCAGCAGAUGGCGAGUGUAAAAUCACAGCCUUCAGAUGCUUUAGCUGUCAGUCGUCAGCCCACAAAAGGGCCAAAUGCAAAGGUCCUGUGAGAGCAAGGUGAUGGCACCUGAGACUUGGUAUAUGAGCACAAAUUCGCAUUCUUUUGCUGUGUAUUAAAUUAAUGUGGCCUAAGAACCACCAUUGUUUGGGUUCUAUAUAAAGAUUUGCAUUUCUGGUCCGUGCCACUUAACAUGUGAAAGGGACACCCACCAUUCUGUACCUUUCCGUUUCCACCAUGUUAAUCUGCAAUUUAAAAAAGAAAUGUCUCAAAACAUAUGUUUAAAUGUAUGGUUCAAUAUGUAUUUCAGCCUUCACCCUCUCCAGAUGUUCUGGACUACAACUCCUAUCAGUACCAGAUAGCAGAACAGUGCACACUUUGUUUCGAAAACCUUCAGUUUUCAGAAGUAAAUAUGAUAUUGAUAAAUAUGACAACAAAUAUGAAGAAGCAGGAACCUGAAAGUGACAGUUGAGAAACAGACUGAUUAAAUUUCACGUAGCAUCCAUUGAGUCUUGGUUCACUACCCUGUUUCUCAGCUUUUUUUAAUGGAAAUGAGUACAGUAUUUUAUGCCUGCUUGACAGAGGAAGACUGGAGCAGGCACAACAAUUUUCAGAAUACGUAAUAAUCUGUUUUACUCUAAUGAUGAUGGUUACUUCUGUUUUUAUUGUGUGUGUUUUUGCCUGCUCCUCAUAAACUGGCACAGCCAAAGAGAUGCUAAGUUCUUUGUAAGUUCAGCAUCUUGUAGCUCCAUUUGUAACAAAAAAAAUAAAAUUA